rnacentral:lncRNA from 1 species
CACCUUCGCGGAAGUGCCGGUGCCCCCCGCCCCCGCCGUGCUGGAGUCGCCGGCUGGGGACGCAGCAGCAGCGCAGCGCAGCGGAGGGGACCCGGCUGCAGGGCGGCCUCUCGGUCUGCAGGAAAUUCACCCUGGAACUCAGGCGGAGGAAGCUGAGCCCUUGGCUUGUUCGCUGACUUGAGUGGUAAGGAGCCGCCCUGCAGGGAACCCCUGUCCUCUGAAGACGCAGGGUCCCCGUGGUGAC